rnacentral:rRNA from 1 species
AAAUGCGAUACGUAAUGUGAAUUGCAAAUUCAGUGAAUCAUCGAGUCUUUGAACGCACAUUGCGCCCCCUGGUAUUCCGGGGGGCAUGCCUGUCCGAGCGUCAUUGCUGCCCUCAAGCACGGCUUGUGUGUUGGGCCCCGUCCUCCGAUCCCGGGGGAC